UGAUCUUUCCAAAUUAAAGGAAAUUUUGGAACUUUCAGCACCAAGGAAUUAAUAAUCAAGCGUUUGUAUGUAUUUUUGACCAUGCGAACCAUGUGUGUAUGGAGGAGAUCCUGAAGGACAUAAAGGUUCGAGUGAAGAAAAAUCAUGGAGUUCAUCAGGCGGUACUGGGCCUCGUUCGUGCUGACGCUGAAAGCUCGGAGACUCGCGAGUCUGUGUCGCUCUUGGAGGGGACAGUGAGAUCUGUGUUCAUAAAACAUCCACACAACUCCAUAUGGAUUGGCCAUUUUAUUCCUAACGCAGCAGAUUGCAUAGAGAACAUCAAAAGGAACAUCUGCAAAGCUGUGAAUGAGUCUCAGAGCCCAGAUAACAUCUUGAGCCGUAAGCGAAAUAUUUUCUGGCCGUUGUUACAGUGCUGGAUCAGGAGAGGACGUAGAGAACGAGCCGAAGCGACAACAUAUGCUCAGGCACAGAAAGGUGAUCCUGAAAGCACAGAGGAAGGAAUUCCAUUACAGAUGAAAUCUGGCUUACAGUCCUGACAUCAGGUUUAUUAACAGACUGAUAAUGACCACAUGACCUGUGAAAUGCCCAGAAAGCUGAAAUACCUGCUGUGUUUGAUUUAUUAACUGACAGGAAUGUUGAAGGAGCAUCGGGAUAUGAAGAUUACUGAUGAAGCUGCUGCUCCUCGGUACUCCUUCAAAAUAAAAUUUCAAAGACAUUGCAAACAUUUUUUUUUGUCUUUGACAACCACGAAAAGGAUGUCAGUCACCAAACAGUGCCUCUGUUAAAGUUUUAAAGGGAGUUAAUUAGAGUAACUUACAUUUUUACAUUUGGAUUGAUCUGAAUUGUGUACUAAUUUUGUCAGGCAAUAUAUACUAGAACAGUCUAGGAUUUCAAUUAAUAGGUUAAUACAUGUAGAGCUUAAUUGUUUGCUAACAUAUUAGACAUUAAAUGUCUUAUUUUAAUUGUAUAAUUAUAUGUAGCAUCUUUAACAGUAGUCAUUGCAGUGAGUUUUCAGUCUUUGCUUUAAGUUUAAGUUCAAUUUCAAUUGCUUUUUUAUAUUUUAGUUUAAGUUUUAGUUUCCACAGUUUUAGUUGUGAACACAGAAGUGGUUUGCCAUCAUUGGAACUUUUGGGGGAAAAAAAAAAAUUUGUUUUCCACUUUAAACUAGAAUUCGCAUUGCAAAUACAUGGUU
ensembl:lncRNA